rnacentral:rRNA from 1 species
CGCGCAGGCGGUCGUAUAAGUCGAAUGUGAAAGCCCCCGGCUCAACUGGGGAGGGUCAUUCGAUACUGUUCGACUCGAAGGCAGGAGAGGGAAGUGGAAUUCCGGGUGUAGUGGUGAAAUGCGUAGAUAUCCGGAGGAACACCAGUGGCGAAGGCGACUUUCUGGCCUGUUCUUGACGCUGAGGCGCGAAAGCUAGGGGAGCAAACGGGAUUAGAUACCCCGGUAGUCCUAGCCGUAAACGAUGGACACUAGGUGUUGGUGGUAUCAACCCCGCCAGUGCCGUAGCUAACGCAUUAAGUGUCCCGCCUGGGGAGUACGGCCGCAAGGCUAAA